UGCCUUAGAAUUGGGAUCAAGUACUAAGGGAAUAUCCUUUUUUAGUAGCCAGGGGAUUAUUCAUCAAACCUCCUGCCCUCAUUCACCUCAACAGAGUGGGGUUGUUGAAAGAAAACAUAGAACACUUCUUGAAACAUGUAGAGCCCUGCUUUUUCAAUCUGGCCUACCUGUGUCCUUCUGGGGGGAUUGUCUGUUAACUGCCACCUAUCUUCUUAACAGAAUACCUUCCAGAAUCCUUCACCAUAAGUCUCCCCAUGAAAUUUUGUAUGGCAAAGCUCCAUCAUACUCCCAUUUGAGGGCAUUUGGAUGCCUAGCUUAUGCAGCUGUCCCUAUUCCUCAAAGGGACAAGCUCAAACCUAGAGCCCAUUCUUCUGUUUUCUUGAAAUAAUCCUUGAAAUUUUGUAUGGCAAAGCUCCAUCAUAUUCCCAUUUGAGGGCAUUUUGAUGCGUUGUUUAUGCUCCUGUUCCUAUUUCUCAAAGGGACAAGCUGAAACCUAGAGCUCAUUCUUGUGUUUUUCUGGGUCACCCCUUUGCCAAGAAGGGUUAUAAACUGUAUAAUAUGGUUACCAAGAAGUGUUUUGUUUCAAGGGAUGUUAUCUUCCAUGAAACUUAUUUUCCUUUUAAGAAUAAUCCUACUUCUGCUCACCCUUCUUCUUCAUAUUUUCCUUCUAUUCCUCCUGCUAAUGAUUUCACUGCCUCAGACUUUCCUAUAUUUACUUCCCCUGAUUCUCCUGUUCUUCCUUCUAAUUCUGAUUCUCCUGCACCUGCUUUUCCUGAUGCUGGUCCAUCUUCUCUUCCUUCUUUCAAUCCUGAUCUCCCUACUCAUGUGUUACCUCCUUCCCAUCCUCUUCCCACACCUAGAAAGUCCACUAGACAGCAUAAUCCUCCUUUUAUUCCUCCUGCUGAUGAUUUCACUGACACUGACUUUCCUAUACCUGCUUCCCCUGAUUCUCCUGUUCCUCAUUCUCCUUCUGCUUCUCCUGUCCCUGAUUUUCCUGAUGCUGGUUCAUCUUUCAAUCAUGAUCUCCCUACUCCUGUGUUACCUCCUUCACAUCCUCUUCCCACACCUAGAAAAUCCGCUAGACAGCAUAAUCCUCCUUCCUAUCUUAAGGAUUAUGUCUGUCAAUUGCCUGCCUUUUCUGGUUCCUCUUCUUCCACUUUGGAAUCUGAACCUAUGUAUUACUCAAGCUGCAUCUGUCCCAGCAUGGCAGGAUGCAAUGAGACAGGAGUUUGAUGCUUUGGAG
rnacentral:lncRNA from 1 species